CCACGCCGUAAACGAUGUCAACUAGUCGUUGGACCCCUUGAGGGUUUAGUGACGCAGCUAACGCAUUAAGUUGACCGCCUGGGGAGUACGGUCGCAAGACUAAAACUCAAAGGAAUUGACGGGGGCCCGCACAAGCGGUGGAGCAUGUGGUUUAAUUCGAUGCAACGCGAAGAACCUUACCAUCCCUUGACAUCCGGAGAAUUUGCAAGAGAUUGCUUAGUGCCUUCGGGAA
rnacentral:rRNA from 1 species